GUGCAAUGCAGAGCGAAGGGACAGGUCCCUAAAACACAGCCCCCCGUCACAAUCACAGACUCUAGGAGGGAGUCCCGGAACCACAGACCUGGAGACAGGUCCCCCAAAGACACAGCCCGUGUCACAACAGCAGACUCUAGGAUGGAGUCCCAGAGCCACAGACCUGGCACGCUGCCCGGGGCCACUGCUCUUGUCACCGUCUCAUCUAAACAGGGAUGACAGAGAACCACCACGGUCCCAGCCCACAUACCACUACCAAGACCACUACCAAGAGGGACAGAUGCUCAGAGAAACACCCCCAGGUGGCAGAGGAACCACAGGGAAGCAUACCCAGACAUUGAAUGACAAUUCAGCUGACUAUUCAAAAAGAAGCUAAAUAGUAAAAGAAAAAAAUAGAUGUUAUAAAAUAUCAGCAUAUGUCUUAUUUUAAAAUGAGUAAAAAAGAAUAUUGGUCAAAGUAAAGACUUGAAAAACAGUCUGAGAAAAUCUGGGAAAUAAUUAGAAAUGAAAGGGAAAAAGUGGAAAUGAAGAAUAAACUAGAAUGAACCCAAGAGUGAAUAAAUGUCAUAAAUGAUGUCAUAGAAGGAAUAGAAAGUGGGAAGGGAAGAGGAAAUCCAGAAAGAGCAUAAUGACGAAGCGUCAACAGCGUGCAAAGGAGGCGACCCAGGAGGAAGCCGAGGGAGAACCAAACAGUUCACAGGUGACUCCAAGCCACGAAACAGAACAGACAUGAAAGCAAUUCAAGAAAAUGCCCUUACAGAAGAAAGGCCUCCACCUACAUUUUUGUAAGAUACACCUCAUAUCUGGGAAAACGAACCAAGAAUCACCAAGAUUUAGUUCUAUCAUUGUCUUCUAAAGGAUAAAGAUAGUAACUAAAAUCGACUAAAACAUCAGCUGUGUUUACAUCCAAUUCACAACUAAUCUAGAGGGGCACUGACCAAAGCAGAAAAACGCUGGCGUUGAGCUGAUGCUGGGAAAUGAAUGCGUGGAGGCGAACUGUGUUAUUCCAGCUUUUAUGUUGAGCUUUUCCAUAAUAAAAAGUUAUAAGUAGGUAAAAUAACAAUUACUCCUUAAUUGGGUAUGUUUGUUUUUUCAUAUAUUUGUAGAGCCUUUUCAACCCAGUGUCAGGCAGCUAAGCACACACUGGACCAUCUUACGCCACCUAUCUCUCCUAUCACAAUGGAACUGUUUGUCUUUGAUGGAAAUCACUCGUCUCCUGGGACCUUUUGAACUGACCUAACCUGUUGUAUUAGUUCAUUCUCACACUGCUGUAAAGAACUACCUGAGAUUGGGUAAUUCAUCAAGAAAGGAGGUGUAAUUGACUCACAGUUGCGCAUGGAUCGGGAGGCCUCAGGAAACUUUCAAUCUUGGCGGAAGUUGAAGAGGAAGCAAGGCCUGUUUUCCAUGGUGGCAGGAGACAGAGUGGAUGGGGGAGACUUCCACGAACUUUUAAACCACCAAAUCUUGUGAGAACUCAUGCACUAUCAUGAGACCACCAUGCAGGAAACUGCCCCCAUGAUCCAAUCGCCUCCCACAAGUCCCCUCCCCUGACACAUGCCACUUUCAGGCUGCUGAUAAAGACAUAUCCGAG
rnacentral:lncRNA from 1 species